UAGUUUCUCUUACAGGUCAGAAAAUAGAGAAAAAUAGCAUAUGUGGAAAGAGAAGCUUUUUGGUCUAUCAUGCUAAGUGAGUGUAACAGGAAAUCCUGACCAGCCCAGAAAAACAGGUUUUAUAUCACUGUCUGUUAUUUUUUGCCCAGCCAUCACUGCCAGUUAUUUUUUGCCUAGCCAUUUUCUGUUUUUCUGUCUUAUGCGUCUUCCCUAACAAGACAACAUACAUAGAAAGAAGCAUUUUGAGACAUUUCAACACAUUAUUGCCUUUAACAUUCUCAUCAUUAUAAUACAUCAGCAGCAAAAGGAAGACUAAGGAAAACGUGGGUGCACUGCUAAAUGAGUUGCAGGAUUUAAGCACGUGAUAAGUUUUCCAAAAAUCUAGAGACUGAUGAUUGCUAGCUAUGCUUUCUCAGGCACCAGCUGCCACCUUAAAAUUAAGGUGCAUGGUGUGGAGGAGAAAUAAACAACUUAAGUGGUAAAACAGCUUAAGUGGUAAAGGGAAAGAAGUGCCUGAAGGUGGAUGCAGAAGAAUGUGGUCAGCCUGCCUCAGCAUCAGGUAAAAUGAGACAUUUGACAGGAUCCUUUCCGGAAGCAAGAACUCUUCUACUGCAUCUGGUAUUAGACUGCUUUGAUUAAGAGGGUUGAAAUCAAAUCUCCUUGUUCACUCAGUGUUCCUUGUCAAAUAUAUGGGGUCCCACUGCCAGGUGUUUUUGUUUACUUCUCUCAACACCCUUCUGCGGUACGUACAGGGUUAUAUAUAUGGACGUUAUACCAAAAAGCCUCCAGAACAGAAAUUGAUCAGACUAAAGCAAUCACUUUGUCCAUCCUGAUUACUAAUACUUUAUGUACAGCAGCAUAGCUUCAAUGGGAAUAUAUUCAGAACAGCACUAUCCCAUUUUCAGACAGUAAAAGAAGAGGUGAGGACUUAGUUCAAGCCUCUUUCCUGACAUGGACAGAAAAACAUCUGCUCAAGAGAGGAAGACAGUUAGAGGAAGAUCUGCUUGCUAAAAGGAACCUGGCACCUGAUUUCUUUUGAAAAGAGAAGGGUGUCCUCAAGCUGUGUACUGUGUUUGGACUGGGCUUUCAAAUGCAAUGGCCUUCACACAUGUCAGCAGAUCAGACUAACAUUAAAUUUAGCAGUGGCUAGUUAGAAAGAGCUUUUGAUCAUUUGUACUUGGUAUUUCUUGCAGGAUAUAAUACAAAUUAUGAUUUGGGGAAUACACUGGUGUGGAAAAAUAUAUUUUCUUUUUAUGUCUUUUAAGAGUUCUUUA